UGCAAGUCGUACGAGAGUUUUUAACUCAAGUGGCGGACGGGUGAGUAACACGUGAGUAUUUAUCUUUAGGAGGGGGACAACAAUUGGAAACGAUUGCUAAUACCCCAUAUGCUUUAGAGUGAAAUGGAUUUAUCCGCCUAAAGAAAAGCUCGCGGCUGAUUAGCUAGUUGGUAAGGUAAUGGCUUACCAAGGCGACGAUCAGUAUCUGGUUUGAGAGGACGAUCAGACACACUGGAACUGAGACACGGUCCAGACUCCUACGGGAGGCAGCAGUGGGGAAUUUUCCGCAAUGGGCGAAAGCCUGACGGAGCAAUACCGCGUGAGGGAAGACUGCCUAUGGGUUGUAAACCUCUUUUUUCAGGGAGGAAUAAAUGACGUGUACCUGAAGAAUAAGCAUCGGCUAACUCCGUGCCAGCAGCCGCGGUAAGACGGAGGAUGCAAGUGUUAUCCGGAAUCACUGGGCGUAAAGCGUCUGUAGGUGGUUAGGUAAGUCAACUGUUAAAUCUUGAGGCUCAACCUCAAAAUCGCAGUCGAAACUAUCUGACUAGAGUAUAGUAGAGGUAAAGGGAAUUUCCAGUGGAGCGGUGAAGUGCGUAGAUAUUGGAAAGAACACCGAUGGCGAAGGCACUUUACUGGGCUAUUACUGACACUC
rnacentral:rRNA from 1 species